rnacentral:rRNA from 1 species
UACAGAGGCCCCAAGCAUUAUCCGGAAUCACUGGGCGUAAAGGGUGUCUAGGCGGCCAUAUUAGUCUUCCGUAAAAUCCGUGGGCUCAACCUACGGACGGCGGGAGAAACGGUAUGGCUCGAGGUUGGGAGAGGUGCGUGGAACUCACGGUGUAGGGGUGAAAUCCGUUGAUAUCGUGGGGAACACCAAAGGCGAAGGCAGCGCACUGGCCCAUACCUGACGCUAAAGCACGAAAGCCAGGGUAGCGAAUGGG